rnacentral:snoRNA from 1 species
AGUGAUGAAAGUAAUUACCGUACGAUUUCUGUGAUUAAAAACCCCAUGGCUGCAUAUUUUGCAACUGAAUUU